CACUUCCAGUCCAUUCUGCAGACUCUGGAGGAGCAGGUGUCUGGUGAGCGACAGCGCCUGGUGGAAACCCACGCCACCCGCGUCAUCGCCCUUAUCAACGACCAGCGCCGGGCUGCCUUGGAGGGCUUCCUGGCAGCCCUGCAGGCAGAUCCGCCUCAGGUGCGGGGACCGUGGGGGCAGAGAGCAGAGGGUGAGAAGGGUCAGGGCGGGCUUGGGCAUCCUGUGUCCCUUCCACAGGCGGAGCGUGUCCUGUUGGCCCUGCGGCGCUACCUGCGUGCGGAGCAGAAGGAACAGAGGCACACGCUGCGCCACUACCAGCAUGUGGCCGCCGUGGAUCCCGAGAAGGCACAGCAGAUGCGCUUCCAGGUGCAGACCCACCUUCAAGUGAUUGAGGAGAGGGUGAAUCAGAGCCUGGGCCUGCUUGACCAGAACCCCCACCUGGCUCAGGAGCUGCGGCCCCAAAUCCAGGAACUCCUCCACUCUGAACACCUGGGUCCCAGUGAAUUGGAAGCCCCUGCCCCUGGGGGCAGCAGCGAGGACAAGGGUGGGCUGCAGCCUCCAGAUUCCAAGGAUGACACCCCCAUGACCCUUCCAAAAGCCUGGGUGACAGAGUGAGACUCUGUCU
rnacentral:sRNA from 1 species